UGCGCAUGUGCAUCCCCGCCUUCUCCUCCCGGCUCGUCCUUCCCCGGCCUCCAGCCCCUCGUGGGAAACCUUCCCUGGCUUCCGGGUCCACGCGGCGAGGGAACUGCGGCAUGACAGUAUCCUGAAGCCAUCGAAGGCUGUGUGACGGUGGAAGGUCUGGGACAAAUUUAAGAAGAGCGAGAACCUAAAUUGGUAAUAAAUCAAUAAGAAACAAAUGUUUACAUUCACUCAGUGAAAAGUAUCAUGUCUAAGCUCAACAUAUAUCGGAGCCACACAUGGACACCUCUCCCUCCUUCACUAAGAGCAGAAAAUGAACAGAUCCCAGUAUUGACAGAGGAGUGUUGAAGCCUCCCAACUAGGAUUACAAAUUUAUGUAUUUCUCCUUUCAGUUCUAUCAGUUUUGGAGGUAUGUAUUUUGGUACCCUUUUGUUAGAUACAUACAUGUUUUGAUACUCUUGUUAGAUUGAUAUAUGUUUUCUCUAAUAGGAUUUUGAACCCAUUUAAUGAGUUCUUAAUUCCAGUGUUGUAUUUCUCAGCUCUAGAAUGCCCGUUUUAUCUAUGUCUGUAUACACAUCUAUCAGAGGUCCCCAAGACCAUCCCCAGGCUCAGUGACUUACUAGGGUGACUCAGCAAGUGGUUCUCCUUAUGGCUAUGACUUAUUAAAGUGCAAGAAGAUAAAGCAGAAUCAAUAAGGGGAAAAGGUGCACACAGAGCAUAGUUGAGAGGAAGCCAGGAGCAAACUUCUAAGAGUUUUCUCCCAAAUCUAGCAAUGAGAUUGACAACAAACUUGAAAUGUCUGCCACGGAAGCUCAGUAGACACCCAGGGCUCAAUGUUUUUAAUCGGGAGCUGAUCACAUUGGUACUCUCUGCUUGGCACAGAAACUUCCAGACUUAGAAGGAAUGCAUGUGUGCAGUAUAAACCAUAUUGCUUACACAAACAGUUUAGGCUUAGUGAACCAUUCUUAUUAGGGAAUUUAAGUUCCCAGAUGCCAGCCAAGGGAUACCCUCAUAGCAGCAGACCUUUCAAAGCAGACCAGUCUCAGCCUGCUCUAGUAAUUUUUUUCUGCACAGUACACAUACCAUAUAUCCAUUGAACUUCUCCCAAUUAUUUUGUUCAUAUUUUCCUGUUUUAUUGAACAUAUUAAUCAUAAUCCAUUUUGAAGUUCUUGUUUAUUAUUUCCAGUAUUUGGGUCCCCUUUGGUCUGCUUUGUCUGUUUUAUUGUCUAUUUUUUAUAUCAUAUAAAUGAUAAUAUUAAAGAACUAAUUUUUUCUUGGUCUGCUUUCCUUUGCAGUCUACCGUGUGCAUCCCGCUAGCUCUUGUGUAUAACUUAAUAAAUGUUGGGCGCCUGGGUGGCUGAGUUGGUUAAGCGACUGCCUUCGGCUCAGGUCA